rnacentral:rRNA from 1 species
UAGGGAAUCUUCGGCAAUGGGGGGAACCCUGACCGAGCAACGCCGCGUGAGUGAAGAAGGUUUUCGGAUCGUAAAGCUCUGUUGUUAAGGAAGAACGAGUGUGAGAAUGGAAAGUUCAUACUGUGACGGUACUUAACCAGAAAGGGACGGCUAACUACGUGCCAGCAGCCGCGGUAAUACGUAGGUCCCGAGCGUUGUCCGGAUUUAUUGGGCGUAAAGCGAGCGCAGGCGGUUAGAUAAGUCUGAUGUGAAAGCCCACGGCUCAACCGUGGAGGGUCAUUGGAAACUGGAAAACUUGAGUGCAGAAGAGGAAAGUGGAAUUCCAUGUGUAGCGGUGAAAUGCGCAGAGAUAUGGAGGAACACCAGUGGCGAAGGCGACUCUCUGGUCUGUAACUGACGCUGAGGCUCGAAAGCGUGGGUAGCAAACAGG